rnacentral:lncRNA from 10 species
GCAGGGGCAACCUGCUCAGGUCCCCUUCCACACUGUGCAAGCUUUGUUCUUUUGCUCUUCACAUUAAAUCUUGCUGCUGCUCACUCUUUGGGUCCAUGCCAUCUUUAAGAGCUGUAACACUCACCGCGAAGGUCCGCGGCUCCAUUCUUGAAGUCAGCAAGACCACGAACCCACCAGAAGGAACCAGCUACGGACACAAAACUUCAUAUAAGUAAGAUUUCAGGUUCCUCUUUACUGUGCCCUGGGACCAAGGUAAGCAGGCACAAAGGAAUGGCUUCUGAAACAUGUAGACGAGCAUAGGCACAUACCAGCAUAUGCUUUCAAUAAUGAGGAAGAAGAAAACGAAUAUAACGGCUGAGAAGCUUCCAAUAUACCACCAAAUCCGGACUCUGGAGACUCCCAAGCAGACUGUAAAAGCUGAUUGCCUCAAAGUGUCAAAAUCCAAAUCUAAAAUCAUAUCCUGUCCUUUCUUCUGGCACCUAUCAAGAUGAUUCUGAGGGGUUUAUAAGUUUCUUAUAAUAACCUAUUUCAUAGUAUGGAAAAGUUGUCAUGAAACUCCUGUUUGUUACCUCAUUAUGGUGUCCUUGUUUCUUGUUUAGCAAUAGCCUAAACAGGCUCUGCGGGAUGCUCAGAAAAUGGUUACAUGGGUGUAGCUACAAGCAAAACAGGAAUGCAGAGAAAAGAACUAACAGGCCCUGCUGGUUUCUCAGAUGCAGUGCUGCAUAUUCCAAGAGGCCUUCAUUAGGAGACAGGCAUUAGGAGGGGUUGAUUGCAGGCCAAUCAACUAGCUGCAGUUUCAAGGCUGCUUCCAGCUUACUCGUCUGUUUGAAUAAGUUGAAGUAAAUUUAGCUACAAGGAGACUCCACUUCUAUUUAAUCAAAUAGUCUUAAUGCAGUAAGGAAUCUUAGUGCAACAAACCAUCACCAUCCUAAUGCGAUCACCUUGUAAGAUUCCUCAUCUAGUGUUUGAAUCCCUUGGGGGGCAACCCCCAUUAUUGCUAACCAGGUUUCCUUUAACAUCUUCAGUAAUUUAAAUUUCACUGCCAACACCAGCGAACCUGCUCUUUUAUUGAAUAACUCGAACUGUUAUGAAGUUGUUAUACUGAGCAGCAAAGUAUUUACUAAAUAGAAAAUGCCCUACUGUUCUAAUUCUAUCCCUUGGUAUGACAUUAAAAAAAAACUCCAGUCCCUUUUUCUCAUGUGAUUCCUUCAAACAUUUCAAAGCAACCAGAGUAUUUUGCCCAAAUAGUCUUGUUUUCAUUACAGCUAUGUAUAGUUUGUUCAUCACAUGGUUUCAAGUCUCUUUACAAUCUUUGUCAUUUUUCCCUGGACGUAUUUGGAACUAAACGUUAUCCCAGAGUUGAAUACAAAAUUCUGUGUCUGUGUACCAAAAAAUUGUACAUUCCUAUGGCAUUUACAGUUACAAAAAAGUUUUAAGUAUUUUUUCAGAUACUCUGUUAUCUUACCUUUUUCUCUGUAGUAUACUAUUUGGGAACAGUAAGUUCCAAAGCGCUUUUUGGGACAGUAACUUUUUAGGGAACAAUUCUUCUUUUUUUACUCAAUUUUUGAAUUUUACUCCUAAACCUGUGAAAUCUAGUAGUGGAUACAAUAUCACAACCCAAGGGUAAUUCUGGAUCUCUAAUUUUUCAUUCAAAAACUGGUCUAUCUUAAGCAGCUUAUAGGAAUUCUUUUUUCUUUUGAUUUUGAAAGUGAUUCACUUCACACAGGUAGCUUUGCUUAGGUUUAUGGCUGGUGUUCUGAUUUCUUGAUGCCCAUGCCAUACCAGUAGUUACAUAUUUUGAAUGUCACUCAUUCCUGAUCUUCAAUAUAUGUCAAAGGGAUGGAACAUAUAUUGAGGAAUAGAUCUAAUGUAAAAUAUUAGAAUAGUACAUGUAUAUGUACUCCUCUAAAAUGCUAGAGAAAAUAAACUUAUAAAUGUUAUAUUGCCUAUAAUAUGCACAUUAAGGAAAGACUUAUUCUUUGAAUUGGCCAAUUUAUCUAUUUUUAUAUGUUGAUAGUUAUGAAAGUUAAAUGUUUUCUACCCUCCGGAAGUACACCUGUGUGAUUUUUUUUUUUUUUUUAAGUUAAUCUCCUUUAAGCAAAAUGUGUUUGGUAUUUGGAAUGUUGGGUCCUUUCUGUGGAGGUUGUUUAAAAUGUAAAAUAAUCCAUUGUUCUCAGCUAAAAUAGUUCUCUGUUACUAUCUUCUUGCGAUCUUUGUCCUUCAUGCAGUUUUAAAUCCGGAUGCAUAGUUUUCCUGCCAGAAGUUAAUGCUUACUUCUCAUUUGUUUUCUUUUCCUGUUGCCUUCAGAGCUCACAGAGAGAAGAUGCUAUUUCUGCAAUCUCUAAGACAUGUGGCUUUCCCAGGCAGAUUGUUUAUUUAAUGAAAAAGAAGAGAGGUCCACUCUAUUUGUUUGGAGUUAUGUAAAUAUUCUUUAAAAGGAGGAUUUCCUCAUUUAUUCCACUUCAGUCUUCCUGUUCAGAGAGAGCUUUAAAUGCACCUUAAAUCACUAUAUGAUGACAGCUUGAGUUACAGUUUUAUAACAGUACCAAAUAUAUUCAAGACGUUGUGAAUAAGAAAGGAAAAAUGGAUUAAUUCCUAAUUUAUCUCUCUAUAUAUUACAAUAUAAGAUUAUUGCAUAUCUUCACGUAUAAAACCAGUUUAUCAUUAUAAACCUAGUAAUAAAAAUAACACAUAGUGCUAUGAUAAUAGGUAAGUUUGAAUAGAAGGUAUCAAAAAGGAGACAGAUAAGGUAUUGUUCUAUACAUUUAGUACUAAUAGUUUUGUUUCUUUUUUUAUUUCACAUUCUUACUCAGGUAGAGUUUGCUCACCAUGUUGUAAUUGAAGUUGGAAAACUCUUUAAAAGGUACCAUAAUAGAAGGAUGUUUUCAAUCGGAAACAGUAUAUUUUUUAUUUCUCUUUUCAUCAUCUUGUGAGUUGAGUUUUAAAUUAAACAUAGAAUUCAGAUAACACCAUGAAUAAACCUUAAAGCAUUUCACAUUUUGCAAAUAUAAUUAUUUCUCAAAUAUGUAACCAGAAUGGGCAUAUGGUAGGUACUACAGAGAGAAAAGGGUAACAAUGAUUAAAAUAUCAUUAAAAAUAAUAUUGUGGAAUGUUAAUAUUUAAUAUAACAAAUGUUUACACAUAUAAUUAUACAUAAUAUAUACAUAUGUUUUACAUGCACUACAUAUAACACAUAUAAUGUAUAUUUCACAUAACAUGUUACAAAUAAUCUUAUAUAUGUAAUUUAAAUAUAUUUAUAUAUUUAUAAAUAUAAAUACACUGUCAAGGGUUGGAAUUACAUUAGAGCUUUUUCAUUUUAUGUAGUGAAUACUCAUAGAUCAGGUACAGAUAUUUUUUCUCAGAACAUUUUUAGACUGUAUUAAAUAUUAUAGUAUAAAAUUGGUGAAGUGAAGCCAUCAAAAUGACUAUACCAGCUCUUUUAUAACUACUUUUAAAAAGGCAAAUAUUAGUAUAUAAUUUUAUCCAAAGCAUAAUAUCUAUGGACGUAGAUGACCUGUUUAAGGAGAAAAGAAACAUGUUCAAAUCACAUUGAAAUAACAGAGAGAAAUGUCAGGGUUUCAGUGUUACGUGAGGGAAACAUUAUGUUUCCUCCAAAUAAUAAUAAGUUGCCAGGUAUUUUAUCAUAGUUUCUUGAAAUUGACACAGACCUUUAGGUCUGUUGUGCAUCGUACGUAAUUUUCUUGUUUGGCGUUGCACUGAUUUUAAAAGUUCUGCAAUAAAGCACAUUAAUUGCAUUGUUUUCUUUUCAUUUAGAAUUUCAGACAUUAUUUCCAGAAAAGUCAUAGUUUGAAGCGCUUCAAAAUCUUUGAACUUAGAAAAGGAAAGGAAGUUCCUUUAUGUCAAAACUGUGAUAAAAGCAAACAAACAUUUAAUAAAUGUUGGAUAGACUUAAAUAGUUUUGUGUUCAUCUCAAGCAUACAUUGAAAGCUUAUUAAACUGUAUUAACUUGUGUAAUAAAUGUUAUAAAAGAAUCAGAGUUCUGGAAGAUUCUUGUUUCCUUUAGGCAGAACCACAUUUGAAGCAAACUGAAGUGAGAGAAAGCAUGAUUGUGCAAAAGAGCUUAGAGUUUUAUACACCCUCUCAACAACUCUUCCUAUUAGUCUCACCUGUACUGCCAGGUCAUUCAUGCUUCCUUUUCAUUUGUCUUCUUUUGUCACUGUAAGUUAAGCCAAGUAAUUGCUGCCUCUGCUGUCCUCAGGUUGAAACAGAGUUAAAUUAGCUCACCUCUAUGUGUGCCAGAUGUUCCUUUGGUCAAGGUGGCUGGUUCUCUCUGUUUCUGUAGGUAAAGAAUUGUAAUUGCUUGAGCUUCUAGCCAUUGUUCUUUUUUAUCAAACCUUUCGUCACCAUGAAGAUUUCCUUCUGUGCCUUUUGCAGUCAUCCACAGCUUUCACAAACGAGGGCUAAUUAUCACUGAUGUGACUGACUGCCAUUAUUUCCUAGUUAUAAUUUUCUCAAUACAAUUUCUCUUCACAACUCCUCUUAGGAUACUUUUGAGCUAUUUCCACUUAUUAGUUUAACAAUUUUGUAACUUCUUUCUUUGUAUUUCCUAAUGUAGAAACAUAGGUGGAUUGAAACCCACGUUUCCAAGGAAUAAAGCUAAGAGUGUGUUUAAAGAGAAGGCUCAUAUGUAUUACUGAGCUUCUCUACUGUUAGAGUAUAUAGAAGAUAGUCUCUUCUUUAUUUUGCAAAUACGACAACUGAAUCACAGGGCAUUCAUUACUUUAGUAAACCUCUACUUAGCAAAAUCUUUACAACUUACUGCUAUUAACAAUUAGAGUAUUGGUAAUACUGAGUGAUGUAAUUAUUGCUAUACAGGUGAUUUCAGAGCCUGGUUAACACAGAAAUCUAAAUCUCAGAUCUAACUUAUUUCAUUCCAAGGUUAGGGAGGGAAUUUUGCUUAGAUUUCCUGCUCCCAGUGAAUCUUGAGUGGUGUCCAAUAGUUCUAAGCCAUGGACACUGGGUUUAAGUCACUAUGGGAAUUCCUCAUUGAUUGGUUCCACUGAAUUGGUAAAUACAGUUAUUCACAUCUCAGUUAGGUGGUAUGUUCUGCAGUUAGCUUAUAGGGCAAAAUCCCACAUAUUAAAAAUUCCAUGCCCCACAUCCCUCCCUCCCCUACCAUCACAUCCUACACUAGAGUGAUACAUUUGUUACAAUCCAUGAACCAACACUGACACAUUGUUAUCACCCAAAGUCCAUAGUUUACAUGAGAGUUCACUCUGUGUUGUACAUUCCAUAAGUUUUGACAAAUGUGUAAUGGCAGAUAUUCAUCCUUAUAGUAACAUACAGAAUAGUUUCACUUCCCUAAAAGUGACCUGUGCUCUACCUGCUUAUUUGUAUGUCUCUCUAUUUUUCCCACACCCUGGCAACCAUGUAUUCUUUUACUGCCUCCAUGGUUUUGCCUUUUCCAAAAUGUAUAAACGUGGAAUCAUAUGGUAUGUAGCCUUUCCAAACUGUCUGUUUUCACUUAAUAAUAUGCUUUUCAUGUUCUUCCGUGUCUUUUCAUGGCUUGGAAAAUGAUACUACUUUUGAGUCAGAAAAUUUUAAGGAGCACUUAAAAGCAAUGUUUUUGUUUCAUCCUGAAAAGAGAAGAAAAUAUGCUUUUUGAGUAGAAAUUUUAUAUAUUAUUUGAAGAUUCCCUGCUUCCCACAUAGAAUGUGGUCAGGAGCAUGUGAAAACUAUUACAGAUCACUUAAUGUGGAAGUUAAAUAAUAUAAAAAGUAAUGAAAACUAGAUUAUCAAUUCUGAUCUAUGUUCAUUAAGAAGCAUGAACUAUUAACAAGUAUGUAGAUAGUUUUUACUGUUGCUCAACCCUUGUAAGCUACAAAUAAGAACCAACUGUAUCUUACAGAAUUGAAUUGAGUGAAACUUAACAUUAUAGUGCCCCAAAAAAGAGAAAGGUUUAAACGUAAUUUUUGUCUAAACUUAUCCAAUUAUAAAUAUUCUUUCAUUCUAAUUUAAUUAAAAUGAAGGUAGACCUUGAUGUGAUAUACAACUUCAGCAAAGUUUCAGGUUACAAAACCAAUGUACAAAAAUCACUUGUAUUCCUGUGCACCAACAACAUCAAGCUGAGAGCCAAAUGAAGAAAGAAAUCUCAUUCCUAAUAGCCACAAAAAGAAUAAAAUACCUAGGAAUACAGCUAACCAAGGAGGUGAAAGACCUCUGCAAUGAAUAUAAAACGUUGAGUGAAAUCAAUGAUGACACAAACAAAUGGAAAAACAUUCCAGGCUCAUGAAUAGGAAGAACCAAUAUUAUCAAAAUGGCCAUACUGCCCAAAACAGCAUUACUUCGGUGCUAUUCCUAUCAAAUUACCAAUGACAUUCUUCAUGAAAUUAGAAAAAACUAUUUUUGAAUUCAUAUGGAACCAAAAAAGAGCUCAGAUAGCCAAGGCAAUUCUAAGCAAACACUGGAGGCCUCACGUUACCUGACUUCAAAUUGUUCUACAAGGCUCAGUAAUGAAAACAGCAUGGUACUGGUACAAAAACAGACACAUAGACCAAUGGAACAGAACAGAGAGCCCAGAAAUAAUGCCAUAUACCUACAACCAUUUGAUCAUUGACAAAAUCCACAAAACAAGCAAUAGGGCAAGGAUUCUCUAUUCAAUAAAUGGUGCUGGGAUAACUGGCUGACCAUAUGCAGAAGAUUGAAACUGGACACUUUCCUUACACCAAAUAUAAAAAUUAAGAUGGAUUAAAAACUAAAACCAAAGGCUAACAUCAAAAACUACAACAACCCUGGAAGAUAACCUAGAAAAUACUAUUCUGGACAUAGGACUUGGCAAAGACUUCAUAACAAAGACACCAAAAGCAAUUGCAACAAAAACAAAAAUUGACAAAUGGGACCUAAUUAAAGAGCCUCUGCACAACAAAAUAAACUAUCAAAAAUGUAAACAGACGAUCUACAGAAUGGAAGAAAAUAUCUUCAAACUAUGCAUCUGACAAAGGCCUAAUAUCCAGAGUCUAUGAGAAACUUAAAUUUACAAGCAAAAAACAACGCCAUUAAAAAGUGGGCCAAGGACAUGAACAGACACUUUUCAAAAGAAGACAUUCAUGCAGCCAAGAAGCAUAUGAGAAAAUGCUCAACAUCCUUAUCAUUAAAUAAAUGCAAUUCAAAACUGCAAUGAGAUACUUUUCACACCAAUCAGAAUGGCUAUUAUUAAAAAGUCAAAAAAUAACAUGUUGGUGAGGUUGUAGAGAAAAGAGAAUGCUUAUACACUGCUGGUGGAAAUGUAAACUACUUCAGUUAUUGUGAAAAGCAGUUCGGUAGUUUCUAAAAGAACUUAAAAUAGAAGUACCAUUUGAGCCAGCAAUCUCAUUGUUGGGUAUACACCCAAAGAAAUAUAAGUUGUUCUACCACAAAGGCACAUGCACAUGUACGUUCAUUGCAGCACUAUUCACAAUAGCAAAGACAUGCAACAACCUAAAUGUCCAUCAAAGGUAGACUGGAUAAAAAAUGUUGUACAUACACCAUAGAAUACCAUGUAACCAUAAAAAAAGAAUUAGAUCAUGUGCUUUGCAGCAACAUGGAUGGAGCUGGAGGCCAUUAUCCUAAGCAAACUGAUGGAGGAACAGAAAACCAAAUACCUCAUAUUCUCACUUGUAAGUGGAAGCUAAACACUGAGUACACACAGACACAAAGAAGGGAACAACAGACAUGGGGGCCUACUUGAGGGUGGAGGGUGGCAGGAGGGUGAAGUUUGAAAAACUACCUAUCGGGUACCAUGUUUAUUACCUGGGUGACAAAAUAAGUUGUACACUAGACCACCAUGACACACGAUUUACCUACAUAGCAAACAUGUACACAUACCCCUGAACCUAAAAUAAAAGCUUAAAAUAAAAAACAAAAUAAAAUAAAAUACAAGGUAUAGAAUAGGGUAGUCAUUGGAAGUUCAUGAUUAAAUAAAUAUAACUGUGGUGGGAGGAUCACGACGGAAAAUAAUUUUAUUUUAUUUUUCUGUGCUUUAAAUCUUAUGUCCUAUGGUUUGUUAAUAAAAAUCAUGGACUCUCAAAAGUUUAAAGGAACUUAAAAUGUCUUCAAAAUUGAGGAACUGUAUAUAUUUUAUACUUUUUGACUAUUUCUUCUUUCAGCUGGUUGUUUUGGCAUAGAUAUUAACUCUGAUAUUUAUCUAAGAAGAGCUGCUAUUAUUGAUUCUAUGUUAUAGAAUAUGUUUUCAACCUUGCUCUAAUCCUAGGAGGGAAUUUAACCAGCUAGGAACGUGAUACAGAUCACCACAAGAAAACUGGGUGGAUGAUCACUGUCACCGGUGAAAAUUUGUUUUGUGUGCAUAUAUAAAUGUUCCCUAUUUACAAUGGCUUGACUUCCUGGUGGUUAAAAAGUGAUAUACAUUCAGUAGAAACCAAACUUUGAAUUUCAAAUGUUGAUCUUUUCCUGGGAUAGGGAUAUGAGGUCUGAUACUCUCUAGAUGCUGGGCAGCAGCAGGGAGCAGUAGCAAUCAUGAGGGUAAACAAACACUACUGUAUUCCAUACUGUACUAUAUUCAAUACAGUACAAGAGAUAUUCAACACUUUGUUAUAAAAUAGGUUUGCAUUCUAUGAAUUUGCUGUAGGCUAAUGUAACUGUUCUGAUCAUGUUUAAGGUAGGCUAGGCUAAGCUAUGGAUUCCAUAGGUUAUUUGUAUUAAAUGCAUUUUUGACUUAUAAUAUUUUCAACUUAAUGAUGGGUUUAUAAGAAGGUAAGUUGAAGUGCAUCUGUAUAUAUCAAUCAAUAAAGAAUGGGCUUCCACUUCAUUUUAAAAAAUUGCUUUAAAAAUAAAUUGAAAUUUACUUAGGAGAGGUUUGUUUUGUGUUAAAUAUUAGUUUUGUUUUACACUUAAAUUAUCUGGAUUUAUUAAUUUCCCAAUGUCUUCACUAAGGCAAAAUUUAAUUGGAAUUGAAAUCAGAUACAUUAGACACAUUGGAGUUUAUAUAAAAUCAAGAAAAUUUUCUAAGUAUAACAUUAAUAGUGAUCAUUCUAAUCAUAAUUAUUCAAAAGACCUGGUUCAAUACAGCAUUGGAUUUAUUCUAUAGAAAAUGAGAUAGAAAUAUUAAGUGCACUGAAAAUAAACUCAACUUCUCUAUAAUAUUUUCUUUUCACUAAAUAUUAAUAUUUAUAUUUCAAGGAUAAACAUUGGUAGGGAAUCUGCUGAAAUCAGGUAACAGUAUUCUAUGAAUCUAGUGAUUAGAAAGGAAUUCAACUAACUGGUAAAGGGGAUACAUUUACAUAUUUUCCAGGCUAUCACCACCCUUUUUAAACAGUCCUGACUCGUCUUUGGCAAUUGUGCUCUAUGGGAAAAUAAUAUAACACUUUGUUUUAUAAUUUUAACUUUGGAAAAACACAGCCUCAAAUAAAUGACUAAGUUUGCUUUUAUUCCCAUUAAACGUUAAACUUAAAAGUUCAGAUUUGAGGCUGGGUGCGGUGGCUCACGCCUGUAAUCCCAGCACUUUGGGAGGCUGAGGCAGGUGGAUAGCUUAAGCUCAGGAGUUUGAGACCUGCCUGGCUAACAUGGUGAAACACUGUCACUACAAAAAAAUUAGGUUGGUAGGGAGGCACAUGCCUGUGGUCUCAGCUACUCAGGAGGUUGAGGUAGGAGGAUAACUUGAGCCCAGGAGGUCCAGGCUGCAGUGAGCUGAGAUCACACCACUGCACUCCAGCCUGGGUGACAGAGCAAGACCCUGUCUCAAAAGAACAACAGCAAGAAAAAACAAAAAUUCAAACUUAAAAGUGUGAAUGCAUCCACUGUUGGGGAAAUAUAAUUAGAAACUAAAUCUUUCCCCAACCCAGAACACUUCUCAACAAACAUAGUAGAGAAAUAAGCCAGUUUUAUUAUUUUAAAAAGCAUGAAACCAGGAUGUCAUGCUAAUCACAUUGAAAAGACAGAAAGGAAUUUCACCCCCUAUAGGUCUAAGCAGAUAGACUUAUUACAUACAUGCGCUCAAGACAGACAAUCAUUAGUCCUCAAGUAAGAGGACUUUGCAAUACCUUUUGUCACAUUCUUUUAUCUUAAUUUUAUCAUGAUAAUUGGGGAGACUCCCUGUGGCUGUAUCAGGAGGAGUAACAAACUUCUCAUUGCAAAUUGGAACAAGAUGCCCACAGAUGUUAAGCUCUUUUCCUCCCACACUAACUGAAAGAUAGGGCCACUAUCUCUCUUUAUGUUUGCCUUUCAAAAAGAUGCCUACCCGAUGAAGUCUUCCUAAAAGGCACAAGAGAACAGGAUUCAAAAGUUUCUGGAUGGCUGAACAUGUGGAGGGUCCUGGAGGGUUGACCACCCAGGGAGGAUGUGGAAGCUCCACACCCCUUCCCCCAUACCUUGCCCUAUGUACCUGUAUCCUUUGUAAUAUCCUUUAUAAUAAACUGGUAAGCAAUUUUUUAAAAAAGGCUUACAGGUACUUGAGGAAACAUUCCUGAAUUGUGAGACUGGCAGAGGUUUAUUUCGCCAUUAUCAAGAUUUAUAUACAUUUGAAAAGGACAGAGAAAGGAAUUUUGAAAUAAAAGGAAAAAGGGGAGAAGUCUCUUGCCUGGUAAAAUGAUAAUUCUUAUUUUUAAUCUAUAUUUUCCCCUACAUCACCCACAGGAAUAUAGAAGUAGUAUUAUUUUAUUAUGACUUUUUUCUCUCCCCAACCUUUCAAAAAUAAUUUGGAGAGCUUUCUUUGGGUGCUACCUAUUUCGUUUAAUGGCUUUAUUGAAGUAUAAUUGACACCCAAUACACUGCCCAUAUUUAAAGUGUAGAAUUUGAUAUUUUGACAUAUGCAUACACUUGUGAAUUGAGAGAAAAGAGGGAUGAGACUAGUCCCCCCACCCUUACUAAUGCAUUUUUUCCCCCACAUUUGAUGAUACAGGCUGAAUGUGUGCUCCCGCCCAAAUCUCAUAUUGAAUUGUGAUCCCCAGUGUUGGAGGUGGGGCCUGGUGGGAGGUGAUUGGAUCAUGGGGGCAGAAUUCUCAUGAAUGGUUUGUUUAACUUGCUCUAUAAUGUUGUAUAAUAAUAUAACGUCUAUAAUGCAGGUCAGUCUAUUUUACCACAGAUAGUGAGGAUUGUACAGAGAUCAUUGACAAGGUAGACAACAAGUGAGUCAAGGUUAGAGAGGGUAAAAUCUAGCCUUCUCAAUUCCAAGUCAUAUUUUUCUUCUCCCUUUUAUGUUUCACAGUUCAUUUCUACUGUUUCAAAGAAAACCGUUCUUUCUAAUUAAAUAUUUAUUCCUUAAUAGACAUCCUCUCCUCUUGGUACUGUCCUUGAGAUAGUGAGUGAGUUCUGGUGAGAUCCGGUCAUGUAAAAGUGUGUAGCACCUCCCCUCUCACUCUCUUGCUCCUGCUUUUUCCAUGUGAAGGACGUGAUACUGCUUCAUCUUCCACCACAAAUAAAAGCUCCCUGAGGCCUCCCCAGAAGAUGAAUCAUGUUGGCACCAUGCUAAUACAGCCUGCAGAUCCAAUUAAACUUCUUUUCCUUAGAAAUUCCGCAGUAUCAGGUCUUUCUUUAUAUCAAUGUGAGAAUGGACUAAUCCACAUGCCACCUACCAGACCUUGCAGUACCAUGCUCACGGGCGCCAUACCUGCUGACCAGACCUUGCAAACUGUGUGAAGAAACUAAGUUGAGCAGCAUUCCACCAAAAAUCUUACUCAAAGGAGUUUACCCUCUCAUCUACAGUAUGUACACAAAUCAGGAGAAUGACCCACCUUGACCCCUUGACUCAUUAUAAUACUAAAAUCCCUGCCAAAGGAGGGCGUAUCCACCAUUUUUUGAUCAUGUGUUGCGUGAAGAAGUACGUUUCUAAACUGUGCUUAUGCCACUGAAACUCCUCCCUAAUCAUGCCUUGAUACCUUUCCUCUUUCCCUCCAGAAUUAAAAAAUCUUGGGUGGCUCCUCAUGGGAAGGCAGAGAACUAUCAUCCCUGUGCUGUUUCCCUUGUGCUCAAGCAUAAGCCCCUAAUAAAAUCUUGUCUGAAAC